GAUGAACGCUGGCGGCGUGCCUAAUACAUGCAAGUCGAGCGAACGGACGAGAAGCUUGCUUCUCUGUUGUUAGCCGCGGACGGGUGUGUAACACGUGGAUAACCUCCCUAUAAUACUGGUAUAACUUCGGGAAACCGGCGCUAAUCCCGUAUAAUCUUUUGAUCCGCAUGGUUCAAAAGUGAAAGACGGUCUUGCUGUCACUUAUAGAUGCAUCCGCGCUGCAUUAGCUAGUUGGUAAGGUAACGGCUUACCAAGGCAACGAUGCGUAGCCGACGUAAGAGGGGGAUAGGCCACAUGGGAACGGAGACACGGACAAGAGGCCUAAGGGAGGCAGCAGUAGGGAAUCGGCCGCAAUGGGCGAAAGCAUGACGGAGCAACGCCGCGUGAGUGAUGAAGGUCUUCGGAGCGUAAAACUCGGUUAUGAGGGAAGAACAGAUGUGUAAGGAACUGUGCACAGCGUGACGGUAAUGAAUCAGAAAGCAACGGCUAACUACGUG
rnacentral:rRNA from 1 species